ensembl:lncRNA
GUGUCCAAAUCACCUAGAGGCCUAUUGCAGAUGAUAUCAGGAUGUCUUUCUCAGAUUAUGGAGUCCUGCAUUAGAGAAUAAGAUCUGUGAGUGAAAGAAAUACAAAAAUAUAUAUAUCAUAAUUUCAUGUUCAAAUUCAGGUCCAGCUCUUUCAGAUCUUCAUAGUUCUUCAGACCUGACAGAAGAAUGCCUGAUGUUGAGAGAAAUGAUAGCUCAACUGUGCAAGCAUUCAACAUCAAAAAUAUCUGGAAAUACAUCUUUUGUAGGAGAAAAACUCUUGGAGAUUUAGGGUAGAAUGAUAUUGCAACAUGUGGUUCAGAAGCAAUAGGAGCUGGUGUGUCUGGUGAAGAAGCAAAAUCAGUUCAAAGAACACGAUGGGAGAGAGGGCAAAACACAGGGCUGGAAAAGAAAGCACAGGACUCUGUUGACCGUAGGAGUUUCCCCUUCCAUUGUGGCUUUGAAGAUGGAUAGGAAAGAUUACGGCUCCUCUAAAGGCAGCUGAAACAAGAACUGAGAAGCUUCUCUCAUACUGCAGAAUAUAAAAGCUAGCUGGAACUGGAAAUCAGCACACCUCCUGUGUUUAAUUUAAAUGCAUAUGCAUGAUUUUUGUGAUGUAUUUUUGCAUCAGGGUACUUAUUAAAGUAACCACUUUUUACACAGGAUUAGUGCACCAUGGCUGUAUUCUGCACAGAGGGAAUAACAGCGCCCAUAAUUCCAAACAACUGGUAAACUGGCUGGGACUUUUGCGAGCUGAAGUCCAAAACAUCUGGAGGAGCAGAGUUUGAGAAACAGUGGUAUAGACACAUGGCUUGUAAGCUUUCCAGGUGACUCUCUGGCACAAUUCAAUCUCCUCAAGUCUGACUGGACAGGAGGUGCACCUGGGUGUCAUCUCGCAACCAACAGAGAAGGAACGAUUUCUGCCCUUGUUAGUUGGUUUAGAGAAUGAGUUGAAGGUUACUCCAUCUUCUCCAACAGCAGCCAGUUAGUGCCCAGGUAUGGACUCAUGACCAACCUGUGAUUCAGGUAUGUAACUUCACCCAAGAGCCAUCCACAUGCCCUUGUGCAACUGGUCAAGAAGUAACAAGCUUCACAGCACCAUCACCACCAAUGUAAGACAUACAGAUUGAGAUUCAUAACCUCUGUUUAGGGAAAACAGCUAUUGUUCCAGUGGGGAUAGGUGCUCUGUGGAGCAACUCUAAAUAGACUGUCCAAACAUCUAAAUGAAAAUGAAAAUAGUUUACAGUAGCAGUUACUUGCUACAUGUCACAUUAUCCCACAAUACCACACUGAUUCUGAGACUAAUGGCCAGGAUCCAAAUCACUGAUGUCCAAAAUUCCUAGAUUUGUGAAUAGCAUUUGUUUCACAGAUGGCUCAAGACUCCAUUAAAUGACAUCUGUAGGCUGGAAUUGAAAAUCAUAAUCACCAUCAUCAUCCCAUUUUAUUUCAAAUUUGAAUCCCCCUUCUAAAUGAAACUCUUUAGCAUGGCUAUUUGAGUAAUUUAACUACUUCAGGAAUAAUUUGGUGAGAUAUGUUUUUAUGUGUGGAAACAUCAUCUCAUACAGAAAAUUCAAAUAAUUUCCCAAUAUAGGACAUGGAAAACUACAAGAAUGCCAUUGUUUGAGAUAGAAUUGGCUGGCCAGUAGAACAUGAAGAUGUAUUUAGUGGUUGCUGAGGAUAACUCUAAAAAGUUUGUCCAGGAUAAUGAUUUAAAAGAUCAAAAUCAAAACCCAAGCAGCUAACACUUCAUACAAACCCAAGGAGAGAAAGGUCUUCCAAAUAUAAUACUGCAGAACAUCAAAUGUGCUGGUAUGAUGGACGUUGUCUUUUGAAGGUGAAGGGAAACAGAGAACACAUUAUGGCAAAUGAAUUUCUGUAGGUUUAUGUGCCCAUUGUAUUGUAUUCACUAUUAAUCCCAUUUUGUUUCUAAAAAGAAUCCAACAAUAUUUAAAUAUACAUAUACAUAUAUAUGAAAAGGAAUUGUACCACAUCUAUAUCCUACCAGCUGUUCUUUCCAUCCGUGGUCACUCAGUUACUGUGGAACUCUUACUUUUUAAAUUAUUUGCAAAUGCAACUUGUUACCUAUAUAUAUGUAUUGGAAACACUAUAAUUAGAGGCAUUAGUGAGCUAGGAUACAAGGUGGGUUGAAUUCAUCAGAUGAAAGAAGCUGAUAUAAAAAGUUUGGGCCAGUCAUCACAUCUCAUAGAAUGGAAAAUGUCAAUUGUUUUUUUUUUCCCUUUCCUGGUGAUUCUUCACUGGCUAUUGAAAAGCCAGCAAGCAGUUUAGUUGUAAACAAAAGGAGGAGUCAGGGAGAAGAUGGACCCAUUUUUUCCCUCAGGAGCUUGAAGUCCAUCUAAGCCAGAAAGCUUUCCUUUGCUAUUCAUAAUUUCUGUUCUUCUGACAUGUUCUUCUGUGCAGUCCACAGUCACAGUAGUUAUUUUUAAAGAAAAACUUGUUCAGAACAUUGAAGAUUUGGAAGUCAUUAAAAACAAUGGGAGAAAAUGACAGAAGAUUCCUUAAUAGACAUCACAAUUAGCGAGUACAACAAGAGUGGAAACAAAGGACCCGAAGUCACGAGAAUAAACAUUAAGAGAUUUUAGGAGAUCUGAAUGUAGAGACAGUUGCCAACACUGCACCACACUCUGGGAAGUGAAUACAAUUUGGAGCCAACAGACUGACAAAAAAAAGCCAUACAUUAAAGGUUCUUAUUCAAUAAUACCAUCAAGGAUUACUACCAUUCAUUCAAUCCGGGUAAAGGUCACAUUUGGGACAAUAACAAGAAGUGCACAUUUCUUUCAUUGUCAGGUAUAUUAUGGGCAAGUCCUCCAUGACUUGGCACUUUAAAUACCAAUGGUUAUGAAAAGCAAGAUGAAAUAUGUGAGAAUCGAACUCAGAUGCAACAGGAUGUUAAAUUAAGGGUUGACUACUAGAUUCACAAAUGAAGGCCUCUUUGAGUUCAAUAUGUUCAUAAUGGAUGUUGGUUGCCUGACAUAUCAUAUGGAUGUACCAGCCUUGUGUGGGAGAUAGUGAAACAAUGCAUGAUUGGUGCUAACAGAGACUAUUUCAAUAUUUCUUAGCACUUUAAGAAAAGAUAUGCAGUAGUAUGGCUCAUGAGUAAAAUGAAAAGAGAUGGGUCAUACUUUUAGUGGAGAAUAAAAAUACCACAAAAGAUUCAAAGCACAUGGAAUAUGCAUCACCUAGAAACAGUGGAUAAAUCACUCACUGAUUUCCAAACCUUUUGGAUAUAGAGAUGGAGACAGGCAGCAUAUUCUAUAUCUCUUACAGUGUAACUUCUUAUCAUCACCAAAAAGGAUAUACUACUUCUAUUUAGAAUGGUUAUCUCUUCCAUCAAACUUUGGGAGGGACACACAUGGAGUAAGGAGGGAGAAAGGGGACACCUACCUACCUAGCCAGAAAUUUAAUUUGAAGUCCAAAUGAACUGAAUUAAAUGGGUUUCACUGGAAGCUUUGUUUGGACGCCUCAGGUAAAACAGAAUUAAUUUGGAACAAAGCAGGGUUUCCCUGCUUUGUUCCAAAUUAUUUAAACAUCUAGUAAGAUCUGGAUCUUAGGUAGGAUCUGGGUCUUAGCAGGUGUGGGCCCUUUUUGGAUUGGGUCCCGGGACCACGUCACAUGAACCAUGGGCCCAAUUCACAUGGCCUUGUUGCCCCUGUAGACCUAAAAACAGGUUCACACUAACUAUUUCCAGGAUAGGUAAAGUUUCAUCUGAAAAGUUUCUAACAUGUUUGCCUGGAUUUGGAUCAGUGGAUGGAAAAGGGUGUUAUUUGAACACUCAUAUCUGUAGCAAUUUAAUUUAGGAGUAAAUCCCAUUGAUGGUAGUGGAAUUUACCAUCAACUUUAGUGUCCUCCAAACAACACUACUCUUAAGACCCUGGGAUUUGCAGUUUAGGGAAGGGUACAGAUAACUGUAAUGAUUCACCAAGCUACAAAAUCCAGAAAUUCAUAGGAUGUUGUCAAGACAAUUAAAAGUUAAAUCAUGGUAUUAAACUAUGUUUAAUACCAAUGUAAAACAUUUCCUGAAGACACAUUCCACUGCUUUCAGAUAAAAUGCUUAGAAAGUGCAGCCCGGUGAAGCAUAUCCUAAAUAUGUAACCUACUUAGGUGGAAUAAAGUACACUUAGCUGGAAGGAAAGUCAAAUGGGCUCAUCUUUAAAAUCUCUUUAAUUUUAAUCCACAUUAAAGCUGGCAAACAUUAUGUGUGUAGCUUUCCUGGCCGUGACUCAGCCCAAGAAAUAAGCAACAUGUUUAUAUACCACUUCACAUUUUUUGCUGCAGUUGGAAGAAGCAGGGCUUUUGUCCCAUCAUCUGCACCGUGAUCAUUUUAAACUGGAGAUAGCAGACUUGGGGGGAGGGGGGGGUUAUUUGUAACAUAAGGACUGGCACACCCUGCGGUUUGAACAAGCAUUUUCAGCUUCUUCAAAACCUUGGAGUCACAUUGCUUUAGUUGCCAAAAGUGACAUUGCACCACUUAAGAGUCAUCCCCCCCUCCCGGGAAUAAUUGUGAUUUGGGGCCGUUUUACCAUUUCAAUAGGUAUGUGGGGUUGAGGGCAACAUUAUAAAGUAUAAUCUGGGUUCAAUUUUUUUAUGAUGAAAAACAUAUGGUGAAGGUGCAAGUGGUCGAGAAGUCAGUACGGAUUCCAAGGGCCAAACUAAAAACCUUAUGACUUAAGGAUUGGAUCAACUAUUUAAUAUAGAAACAAGUGAGAUGGAGGGCAGGAUAUUCAUGGUCUCACUCCCUUUUAUUUCAAAGCCCAACAAACAGAUGGAAAGUGGGUGAAUAGAGCUUUUUAAAGCUGUACAGUGCUUUCCGAAGUAGACAGGUAACCUUGCUUGACAGAGAGCUGACUGUGCAAUCUUAUACCUGUUUUCACUGGGGGUUUACCAUCAGGAAAAUAUGUACACAGUUAAGAGUUAAUGGCACAUGACCCCCAUGAAAUUGGAAUAAACGUGAAUGAAAAAAUACCUUUUUUAAAUCUAAGAUAAUAUAUCUCUAGGUAUUUAGGUCCUCCAGUGUAAAUCUAUGCUCAACUUUCAUUAGAUGUUGAUCACAAAAUCACAUCGGGGGUCAUGACAUUCCCAGAGAGACCAUACUAAUUAAAUCCAUAAAUAUGCAAAUC